UGGGAAGAACACCAGUGGCGAAGGCGCUCUACUGGGCCGUAACUGACGCUGAGGGACGAAAGCUAGGGGAGCGAAAGGGAUUAGAUACCCCUGUAGUCCUAGCUGUAAACGAUGGAUACUAGGUGUUGGACGUAUCGACCCGUUCAGUACCGCAGCCAACGCGAUAAGUAUCCCGCCUGGGGAGUACGCACGCAAGUGUGAAACUCAAAGGAAUUGACGGGGGCCCGCACAAGCGGUGGAGUAUGUGGUUUAAUUCGAUGCAACGCGAAGAACCUUACCAGGGCUUGACAUCCCUCGAAUCUCUGUGAAAGCGGAGAGUGCCUUCGGGAGCGAGGAGACAGGUGGUGCAUGGCUGUCGCCAGCUCGUGUCGUGAGAUGUUGGGUUAAGUCCCGCAACGAGCGCAACCCACGUCCUUAGUUGCCAUCAUUCAGUUGGGCACUCUGGGGAGACUGCCGGGGACAACUCGGAGGAAGGUGUGGAUGACGUCGAGUCAUCAUGCCCCUUACGUUCUGGGCUACACACGUACUACAAUGCUUCGGACAAAGGGCAGCCAACUAGCGAUAGUGAGCUAAUCCCAUAAACCGAGGCACAGUUCAGAUUGCAGGCUGCAACUCGCCUGCAUGAAGGAGGAAUCGCUAGUAAUCGCCGGUCAGCAUACGGCGGUGAAUACGUUCCCGGGCCUUGUACACACCGCCCGUCACACCAUGGGAGUUGGCCA
rnacentral:rRNA from 1 species